AAUAUUGCACAAUUGGCGGAAGCCUGAUGCAGCGACGCCGCGUUGGGGAUGAAGGCCUUCGGGUUGUAAACCCCUCUCAGUAGGGCAGAAGCGUAAGUGCCGGUACCUGCAGAAGAAGCGCCGGCUAACUGCGUGCCAGCAGCCGCGGUAAUACGUAGGGCGCAAGCGUUGUCCGGAAUUAUUGGGCGUAAAGAGCUCGUAGGCGGUUUGUCGCGUCUGGUGUGAAAUCUCAAGGCUCAACCUUGAGCUUGCAUCGGGUACGGGCAGACUAGAGUGCGGUAGGGGUGACUGGAAUUCCUGGUGUAGCGGUGGAAUGCGCAGAUAUCAGGAGGAACACCGAUGGCGAAGGCAGGUCACUGGGCCGCAACUGACGCUGAGGAGCGAAAGCAUGGGGAGCGAAC
rnacentral:rRNA from 1 species